rnacentral:sRNA from 19 species
GAACACCCGCGGGACGGUAUCCUCCUCCCACCAGAACGCGGGCUGAAGGCCGGCACCUCCUCCCGCCGGCCGGACAUAAGGAAAAGACCGGGAUCCUCCUCCCCCCGGUCUUUUUCUUU